CUAUACAUGCAGUCGAGCGGACAGAUGGGAGCUUGCUCCCUGAUGUUAGCGGCGGACGGGUGAGUAACACGUGGGUAACCUGCCUGUAAGACUGGGAUAACUCCGGGAAACCGGGGCUAAUACCGGAUGGUUGUCUGAACCGCAUGGUUCAGACAUAAAAGGUGGCUUCGGCUACCACUUACAGAUGGACCCGCGGCGCAUUAGCUAGUUGGUGAGGUAACGGCUCACCAAGGCGACGAUGCGUAGCCGACCUGAGAGGGUGAUCGGCCACACUGGGACUGAGACACGGCCCAGACUCCUACGGGAGGCAGCAGUAGGGAAUCUUCCGCAAUGGACGAAAGUCUGACGGAGCAACGCCGCGUGAGUGAUGAAGGUUUUCGGAUCGUAAAGCUCUGUUGUUAGGGAAGAACAAGUGCCGUUCAAAUAGGGCGGCACCUUGACGGUACCUAACCAGAAAGCCACGGCUAACUACGUGCCAGCAGCCGCGGUAAUACGUAGGUGGCAAGCGUUGUCCGGAAUUAUUGGGCGUAAAGGGCUCGCAGGCGGUUUCUUAAGUCUGAUGUGAAAGCCCCCGGCUCAACCGGGGAGGGUCAUUGGAAACUGGGGAACUUGAGUGCAGAAGAGGAGAGUGGAAUUCCACGUGUAGCGGUGAAAUGCGUAGAGAUGUGGAGGAACACCAGUGGCGAAGGCGACUCUCUGGUCUGUAACUGACGCUGAGGAGCGAAAGCGUGGGGAGCGAACAGGAUUAGAUACCCUGGUAGUCCACGCCCGUAAACGAUGAGUGCUAAGUGUUA
rnacentral:rRNA from 1 species